rnacentral:rRNA from 1 species
AGUGAACGCUGGCGGUAGGCCUAACACAUGCAAGUCGAACGGCAGCACAGUAAGAGCUUGCUCUUACGGGUGGCGAGUGGCGGACGGGUGAGGAAUACAUCGGAAUCUACUUUUUCGUGGAGGAUAACGUAGGGAAACUUACGCUAAUACCGCAUACGACCUACGGGUGAAAGCAGGGGAUCUUCGGACCUUGCGCGAUUGAAUGAGCCGAUGUCGGAUUAGCUAGUUGGCGGGGUAAAGGCCCACCAAGGCGACGAUCCGUAGCUGGUCUGAGAGGAUGAUCAGCCACACUGGAACUGAGACACGGUCCAGACUCCUACGGGAGGCAGCAGUGGGGAAUAUUGGACAAUGGGCGCAAGCCUGAUCCAGCCAUGCCGCGUGGGUGAAGAAGGCCUUCGGGUUGUAAAGCCCUUUUGUUGGGAAAGAAAAGCAGCAGGUUAAUACCCCGCUGUUCUGACGGUACCCAAAGAAUAAGCACCGGCUAACUUCGUG